rnacentral:lncRNA from 1 species
GAUUGGCAGUUAUACCGACCAAGUGGUUUAUCGGGCCUGAGGAGGAUGAAUGCUACUGGCCACCAGCAAGGAUGAACAUGGCAAAGGCGGUCAUAGAGCAACAGGACCCUCACACUGACUGGGCGACAUACAAGUUGACUGUCAAGAGAAAAGUCGCAACGUAUGAAAUUGCCCGCACAAAAUUAGUCGAGUAUGAACAGAACACAGAUGUACCAACCGAAUCUGAUUCCACAGAGAAUAUGGGAAGGGGGAAGCGCAAAAAGAGACGAGUGAUUUUGUCCAGUGACGAUGAGGAUGAUGUCAAUUGGUCCGGCAGCCAAAUCAGGCCUACACCUCCAUCCACCCUCAGGUCUGUGCUGACACCUCCACCACCUCCAUCCACCCUCAGGUCUGUGCUGACACCUCCACCACCUCCAUCCACCCUGAGGUCUGUGCUGACACCUCCACCACCUCUAUCCACCCUCAGGUCUGUGCUGACACCUCCACCACCUCCAUCCACCCUGAGGUCUGUGCUGACACCUCCACCACCUCCAUCCACCCUCAGGUCUGUGCUGACACCUCCACCACCUCCAUCCACCCUGAGGUCUGUGCUGACACCUCCACCACCUCCAUCCACCCUGAGGUCUGUGCUGACACCUCCACCACCUCCAUCCACCCUCAGGUCUGUGCUGACACCUCCACCACCUCCAUCCACCCUGAGGUCUGUGCUGACACCUCCACCACCUCCAUCCACCCUGAGGUCUGUGCUGACACCUCCACCACCUCUAUCCACCCUCAGGUCUGUGCUGACACCUCCACCACCUCCAUCCACCCUCAGGUCUGUGCUGACACCUCCACCACCUCCAUCCACCCUGAGGUCUGUGCUGACACCUCCACCACCUCCAUCCACCCUCAGGUCUGUGCUGACACCUCCACCACCUCCAUCCACCUUGAGGUCUGUGCUGACACCUCCACCACCUCCAUCCACCCUCAGGUCUGUGCUGACACCUCCACCACCUCCAUCCACCCUCAGGUCUGUGCUGACACCUCCACCACCUCCAUCCACCCUGAGGUCUGUGCUGACACCUCCACCACCUCCAUCCACCCUCAGGUCUGUGCUGACACCUCCACCGCCUCCAUCCACCCUCAGUUCUUCACCAUCAUCUGCUAGGCCGACACUUCCACCACCUCUGGGUAACCUGAGAUGGCCUGAUGUUUCAACCCAUCACCACGUCACCAUGUCACCAGAAACCUCUCAAAGACAAAUCAGGGGCAACAUGUUUGUUCGCAUCUUAACACUGAUUGAGGAGAUGAAAGAGACACAAAAAAUCCAGGGGAGGAUGUUACAAACGCUUCUACAACAGUGUGGCAACAUCGGCACCACCUUCUCUUCUACCCCCGAGGGUUUCCCCCUAAAGACAGUUAGGGAUGUGGAAAUCAUGGAAGAAAAACUGGCAAACCCAAACUUCAUGUCCGAACUGGUUGCAGCUGUGACUGACAUAGGAGGGGGGACUGUUGACGAGGCCACAAAAAGGAUGAUGACUUUUCUCCUAGACCAUGGCCUAUCCAGGCAGUAUAACUUUGUGGGCCGAAAUGGGAAGAGAGAGUUCAAGGCCUUAAAACUGUAUGAAGUAAUAUAUGGAGGCUUAAAGAAAAACGCCAUGACCAGCCAAAUCACCCGUAAAGAUGCCGAGAAGGCGGUCUCCAAGUGGCUCAUUGGUGCUAGGGACCGGGGGGGUAAUAGACAGGCCCGACAGUCAACCCCUCAACAAGGACUUCAGGCUUCAGGCUCGUUUGAGGUGGAAAGAAACUAAUUCUGUUUGUGACAGUGAGGGAACACUGUGCAAAAGCAUGUUGUCAUAAAUUUUACUUAAAUAAAAUGUAAUUAAUUCUAUUACUGGUAUCCUUGUUAUUUUAGCUUGUUUAACCCAAGGUGUUCGGGUCUGUGAGACCCAUUUUCAAUGUUUGCUAAAAGAAAAAGUUACGCUAUUUAUUAACCGUGUCCUCCUCCUAACUGGGCCUGCUGUGUCUUGUCUGUGUGCGCGAAUGUUUUUUUUUUCUGCACCUGCUAUUCACACACAAAGUAACAAAAUUGUUACAUUUCAAGCACUUUCACCUGUUCUAAAUAAAGUUCUAAGAAAUGAGCACCAAUAAUGAUAAAAAAUCUUGUUUCUAUUUUUUAUUUUUUAUAAUUGAAUUUCCAUGUUUUCUCACACACAAAAAAAAAACUAUCAUAUGAUCAUAAUUGUUACCUCACAGGGGUAAAUGGCGAAUAAGAACCAUAAAUUAUGUAUAUACCAUUGGUAAUAUUGAGCUAAAGUAAACAUCUGUUAACUAUUUUUACAUAAAUUGUUGUGGCUGUAUUGAUUUAAAAGCCUAAUAAUGUGGUGGGUCCACCAGACUCGGGGAUAUUGGCUGUGUAACAAAAAUAUUAACAUCUUACAAUUGUUAAAGAACUGUAUGGACUGACUGUAAAAUAAGAAUGAAAAUUUUAAUUUGUUCAAAUUCCAAUUCCCCAAAAAUAAUAAUAAUAAUAAUGGUUAUUACCCAUAUGGGUAUAAUAGCAGGGACCCAUAAUCAGCCCACAUGGGGCCCAGCUAGUGUGGGCCCCAGAUGGGAGAAACCUGGGAUGCCCAAGUAGGUUUUAGCUAGGGCCCAUGUGAAGCCCACCUUCAGCCCAUCUGGGCUUGCCCACAUGGGGCCACCAUGGAACCCCCGGACAAAAUUAACUGGGCCCCCACUCACCAGCCCAUAUCCAUCCCUUAUGGGCCCCACAUGGGUGUGUUGACAGGGGAAGUUAAGGAACAAUGCUACUACAAGUAGUGCACAUGGGUGUUAGGCCCAGAAGCAAAAAUCACAUCACACAAUCAAACAAAAAAAAAAAAAAAAAAAAAAAAAAAAAGCGUAUUAAAUCACAAGAAAAGUGGCUGGCCUGGUCCCUUUUUGGAAAUAAAACAAUCAUGUUAGUUGCCAGCCUCAUUAAACAGCAUAGUCAACUCAAACAUGGCUAGAAAAUAUAGCCCUACUUUUCAGUAUGCUCAACUGUCCCACAGCUCAUUGACAUAAGACAAAAGGUGAACAUUCCGUUGCUACAGACAGACAAAAGUAUUUUAAAACAUGUUCCAAUGCAGAUAUAAAACACUCAAUGACAAAUGUGCAUAUUAAGGCGUUUACCGAUGCAGCCCAGCAGCUCAAGUCACAAUGGGAUCACAACAAAUUUUAAAACUCCAUGCAGAAGCCCGUGUCCUCCAUGAAGAGUAGACACGUACUUCUGGAAAUUACCCUGAUAAAACAAAGUAUUAAAAUUCAAAUGGCAGUGAUUACUCGUACUCUACCAUGACCAACAGUACCUACAUGAAAAGGAAGCCCAACACGCACCGUGUCCAGCACCAACACAAAGGCUGCGUCCGAAAUCGCAUACUUAACGAGUAGGUAAUACAUUUCAAUAAGUAGCCUACUUACUUAACGAGCGCUAAAAGAGUACGUACUCUACAGCCAAAUCUCGUUGAGUAUGAAUGAAUUCCGCCAUGUUUACGUUAUCAUGUGACCUAUGACGUUAUAACAACUUCAGAUAUAUGACUGACUGCUUCAGGUUUAAUAUUUACUACCUAAAUAUUUUGAUGUUGAUGCAAUUUGCUCCUUUUGUGGUCGGUCUUGUUGAAUACACAAAUGCCCUUUUAUUGUUAUUGUAGUUUAACCAAUGUAUUUGUGUUGUUUUUGUUUUAACUCUAUUGAAAUGACCCACAGUUUAAUCCUUGAAGAUUAAACCCUUCAUAGCAUCAGUAACUCCACAACCCCAGCUCGUACGGUUUUCCUCAGCUUUUGCUGAUAUCUGCACAAAUAAGACGUUGAUCAGGUGCUUGAAGAUCUCGGCUUUGGAGAAGAAUGUUGAUUUUACACUUGAAAAAUGUAAAUAUUACUACUUAAAAAUUAAAAUUAC